ACGGAAGGCAGCAGUGGGGAAUAUUGGGCAAUGGGCGAAAGCCUGACCCAGCAACGCCGCGUGAAGGAAGAAGGCCCUCGGGUUGUAAACUUCUUUUACCAGGGACGAAGGAAGUGACGGUACCUGGAGAAAAAGCUCCGGCUAACUACGUGCCAGCAGCCGCGGUAAUACGUAGGGAGCGAGCGUUGUCCGGAUUUACUGGGUGUAAAGGGCGUGUAGGCGGAGCUGCAAGUCAGAAGUGAAAUCUCCGGGCUCAACCCGGAAACUGCUUUUGAAACUGUAGCCCUUGAGUACUGGAGAGGCAGGCGGAAUUCCUAGUGUAGCGGUGAAAUGCGUAGAUAUUAGGAGGAACACCAGUGGCGAAGGCGGCCUGCUGGACAGCAACUGACGCUGAGGCGCGAAAGCGUGGGGAGCAAACAGGAUUAGAUACCCUGGUA
rnacentral:rRNA from 1 species